GUAAACAGGAAACAGCACAGACAGAGCUGGGGAUAAAAAUAAACCGAAAGUCUCGUCAUCGCUGCUGGGCUGGUAAACCCACUCACACCCUCUCAAACCAAGGCUCCAUCCCUCUGGAACUUGAUACAGUCCUUUACUUGGAUGCUUUUGGCCCCUCGGAUAACAUUUAUGCUGAUUGAUAGGACGGUACCAAUGAAAUUAGGACCUGAGCCCUAGGACCUGAGCUCCAGGACUACCUGACAUGAUGACUCCUUGCUGUCCCCAGUCCACCUGGCCAUGCUGCUGUUCCAGUUUCAACUGACCUGAGCCCUAGGACCAUGCCCCAGGACUACCUGACAUGAUGACUCCUUGCUGUCCC
ensembl:lncRNA